UCCAAUGAAAUUUAUUAAAAAUAAAGUUUUUGGCAAAUUUCCAAUGAAGUUCAUUAAACUAAAGUUAUUGGCAAAUUUCCAAUGGAAUUUAUUAAUAAUAAAGUUUUUGGCAAAUUUCCAAUAUACAUAAUUUAAAAGCAGUUUAGGUGAGAUAUUCAAAUGAGUUUCAAUUACCAACCUUACACUGCCUUUUAAAUUAUGUUUUGUACUUAAGUAAUUGUCCAUUAACCUGGAAACCCUUUUCCCCCCUUUUUUGCACCUUAUUCCUUAACGGUUUGAGCCAUAACUCCCAAAGACAAUUCUUACCAUCCCUUUGUGGUAUUCCAAUAUCCAAAAUCUAAAUCCAUGGUUAGAUUCAGCAUAUCAAAGAACCCCAAGAAUUCAAUUUUUGAUGAAAUCAAAUAAAGUUCAAUUUUGGACCCUUUAAACCUCAAUGUGAACCAAUUUGAUAACCGGGCCCAAAUAUCAAAAAUCUAAAUAUAUGGUUAGAUUCAGCAUAUCGAAGAACCCCUUAUAUUCAAUUUUUGUUGAAAUCAAACAAAGUUUAAUUUUGGACCCCGAUUUGGACCAACUUGAAUACUGGGCCCAUAAUAAAAAAAAUAAGUACAUGUUUAGAUUCAGCAUAUCAAAGAACCCCAAGAAUUCAUUUUUUGUUAAAAUCAAACUAAGUUUAAUUUUGGACCCUUUGGACCUUAAUGUAGACCAAUUUGAAAACAGGACCAAAAAUUAAGAAUCUAAAUACACGGUUAGAUUAGGCAAUUACCCCCAAAAUCAAUCCCAGCCUUCCCUUUGUGGUAUGGUACCUUGCAGUACAAUUUCAGAGAGAUCCAUACACUUGAACACAAGUUAUUGUCUGGAAACUAGAAAAAUGCUUAUUUUUGGACCCUUUUUAGCCCCUUAUUCCUAAACGUUUUGGGCAAUUACACCCAAACUCAAUUCCAGCUUUCCCUUUGUGAUAUGGAACCUUGUAGUACAAUUUCAGAAAGAUCCAUACACUUACACACAAGUUAUUGUAAUGCAACUGGAAAAAUGCUUGUUUUUUGCCCCUUUUUUGGCCCCUAAUUCCUAAUAUUUUGAGGCAAUUACCCCCAAAAUCAAUCCCAGCAUUCCCUGUGUGAUAUGGAACCUUGUGGUACAAUGUCAGAGAGAUUCAUACACUAACACACAAGUUAUGUCUGGAAGUUACAAAAAUGCUUAUUUUUGACCCCUUUUUGGCCCCUAAUUCCUUAACUGUUGGUACCAUAACCCCCAAAAUCAAUCCCAACCUUCCUUUUGUGGUAUUGAACCUUAUGGUAAAAUUUCAUAGAGAUUCAUUCACUUAAACUAAAGUUAGAGUGCGAAAACCUAUGUGUCUUCGGACGACGCCGGACGACGCCAGACGACGACGACGACGCCAACGUCAUACCAAUAUACGACCGCAAAAAUUUUUUGCGGUCGUAUAAAAA